rnacentral:rRNA from 1 species
CUAAUACAUGCAAGUCGAGCGGACAGAUGGGAGCUUGCUCCCUGAUGUUAGCGGCGGACGGGUGAGUAACACGUGGGUAACCUGCCUGUAAGACUGGGAUAACUCCGGGAAACCGGGGCUAAUACCGGAUGGUUGUUUGAACCGCAUGGUUCAAACAUAAAAGGUGGCUUCGGCUACCACUUACAGAUGGACCCGCGGCGCAUUAGCUAGUUGGUGAGGUAACGGCUCACCAAGGCAACGAUGCGUAGCCGACCUGAGAGGGUGAUCGGCCACACUGGGACUGAGACACGGCCCAGACUCCUACGGGAGGCAGCAGUAGGGAAUCUUCCGCAAUGGACGAAAGUCUGACGGAGCAACGCCGCGUGAGUGAUGAAGGUUUUCGGAUCGUAAAGCUCUGUUGUUAGGGAAGAACAAGUACCGUUCGAAUAGGGCGGUACCUUGACGGUACCUAACCAGAAAGCCACGGCUAACUACGUGCCAGCAGCCGCGGUAAUACGUAGGUGGCAAGCGUUGUCCGGAAUUAUUGGGCGUAAAGGGCUCGCAGGCGGUUUCUUAAGUCUGAUGUGAAAGCCCCCGGCUCAACCGGGGAGGGUCAUUGGAAACUGGGGAACUUGAGUGCAGAAGAGGAGAGUGGAAUUCCACGUGUAGCGGUGAAAUGCGUAGAGAUGUGGAGGAACACCAGUGGCGAAGGCGACUCUCUGGUCUGUAACUGACGCUGAGGAGCGAAAGCGUGGGGAGCGAACAGGAUUAGAUACCCUGGUAGUCCACGCCGUAAACGAUGAGUGCUAAGUGU